AAAUCCUCACUGCAGGGAAUAGUCACACCACCCAUUGGAUGGUCGAAGCCAAAUUCUUCCUCAGCUUGACUAAGCAAGUCUUGAAACAAAGGUUCGCUCAAGAAUGAUAUCGGGAUUACAAAUCUCUUUUUCUGCAUCUCCCCUACAUACACAGCAAAAUGGCCCUUGGGAAUAUCUCUGGUUGCGGAAGACUUCUUGAUCAUACGAAGAAUAGCCAUGAU